UACGUAGGGACCAAGCGUUGUUCGGAUUUACUGGGCGUAAAGGGCGCGUAGGCGGCAAUUCAAGUCAGCUGUGAAAUCUCCGGGCUUAACUCGGAACGGUCAGCUGAUACUGCUUUGCUAGAGUGCAGAAGGGGCAAUCGGAAUUCUUGGUGUAGCGGUUAAAUGCGUAGAUAUCAAGAGGAACACCUGAGGUGAAGACGGGUUGCUGGGCUGACACUGACGCUGAGUGCGCGAAAGCUAGGGUAGCAAACGGG
rnacentral:rRNA from 1 species